CCCAGACUCCUACGGGAGGCAGCAGUGAGGAAUAUUGGUCAAUGGUCGGGAGACUGAACCAGCCAAGCCGCGUGAGGGAUGAAGGUACAGAGUAUCGUAAACCUCUUUUGUCGGGGAGCAAAUUCCGCCACGUGUGGCGGAGUCGAGAGUACCCGAAGAAAAAGCAUCGGCUAACUCCGUGCCAGCAGCCGCGGUAAUACGGAGGAUGCGAGCGUUAUCCGGAUUUAUUGGGUUUAAAGGGUGCGUAGGCGGAAUGCCAAGUCAGCGGUAAGAUCGCGGGGCUCAACCUCGCUCCGCCGUUGAAACUGGCGUUCUUGAGUGGGCGAGAAGUAUGCGGAAUGCGUGGUGUAGCGGUGAAAUGCAUAGAUAUCACGCAGAACUCCGAUUGCGAAGGCAGCAUACCGGCGCCCAACUGACGCUGAAGCACGAAAGCGUGGGUAUCGAACAGGAUUAGAUACCCGUGUACC
rnacentral:rRNA from 1 species